UCCCAUAUUAUAUGUCUUUUUAGGGAGUUUUUUUUGUCCCAAAUUAUUUGUCAUUUUAGAUUUUCAAUGCAUCAUUAAUUGCACUAUUUUCAAUUUUACCCUUUAUCACUCCUAAUUAGUUAGUUGUAAAACAAUUAAUGUCAAGGAUAUAUUAGUAUUUUCCUAUAUUUUUUACUAUAAUCUAUACACAUUUAUUGAUUUUCUUAAUAUGUGUGCAACAACCCAAAACGUCACUUAAAUUGGGACGGAGGGAGUA
rnacentral:lncRNA from 1 species